rnacentral:rRNA from 1 species
AACAUAGCUUUUUGAAUUUAUGGAAAGUUACUUCUGCCCAGUGAUUCAUAGUUAAACGGCCGCGAAAGUGCUAAGGUAGCAUAAUAAUUUGUCUUUUCAUUGGAGGAUAGUAUGAAUGGAUGAACGAGGCUCGCCUGUCUUCAUGUUUUAUUAUAAUAAAUUGAUUAAUAAGUGAAAAAUCUUGUUUUAAAAAGAAAGACGAGAAGACCCUAUAGAGUUUUAAUGUAUAAUGCCAAUGCAAUGAAGUGUGAGUAUUGGUAUGGCAUUUUUAUUGGGGCAAUAAUAGAAUUUUAAAAACUCUAUUUAUAUUUUUUUGUUUUCGCAAAAAGAAUGAUCCUCAAAGAGAAUUAAGAAAAACUACCUUAGGGAUAACAGCGUAAUCCUGCCUGAGAGAUCUAAUCGAAGGCAGGGAUUGCGACCUCGAUGUUGGACUAAGAGUACAGCAAGAUGUAGAAGUUUUGUGAGUGAGCCUGUUCGGCUUUUAAUCUCUUACAUGAUCU